UGAGUAACGCGUAUCCAACCUGGCCCUUAGUAGGGGAUAGCCCGGCGAAAGUCGGAUUAAUACCCUAUGUUUUCCUAUGAGGACAUCUGAGCAGGAACAAAGAUUUAUCGCUAAGGGAUGGGGAUGCGUCUGAUUAGCUUGUCGGCGGGGUAACGGCCCACCGAGGCGACGAUCAGUAGGGGUUCUGAGAGGAAGGUCCCCCCACAUUGGUACUGAGACACGGACCAAACUCCUACGGGAGGCAGCAGUGAGGAAUAUUGGUCAAUGGGCGAGAGCCUGAACCAGCCAAGUAGCGUGCAGGAUGAACCUGUCCCUAGUGGGUUAGUAAACUGUCUUUUAUGGCGGGAAUAAAGUGCAUCACGUGUGGUGUUUUGUAUGUACCGCAUGAAUAAGGACCGGCUAAUUCCGUGCCAGCCGCAGC
rnacentral:rRNA from 1 species